CAGAGGUGGUUGACGAAACGAAAUCUCUGCGUAUAUUGUACAAAGAUGAAUUGGUGGAAGCCAUAGACAACCUUCAAAGAAUUAUUAAGGAAAAAAUAGAUCAACUGCAAGAAGAAGAGAAAAGAAAGCAUAUGGAGAAAGAUGAAAAUGAUGAAGAAGAAGAAGAUGAAAAUGAUGAUGAA